rnacentral:rRNA from 1 species
AGAGCGAACGCUGGCGGCAGGCCUAACACAUGCAAGUCGAACGGAACCUUCGGGUUCAGUGGCGGACGGGUGAGUAACACGUGGGAACGUGCCUUUUGGUUCGGAAUAACUCAGGGAAACUUGUGCUAAUACCGAAUGUGCCCUUCGGGGGAAAGAUUUAUCGCCAAAAGAGCGGCCCGCGUCUGAUUAGCUAGUUGGUGGGGUAAAGGCCCACCAAGGCUACGAUCAGUAGCUGGUCUGAGAGGAUGAUCAGCCACAUUGGGACUGAGACACGGCCCCAAACUCCUACGGGAGGCAGCAGUGGGGAAUCUUGCGCAAUGGCGAAAGCCUGACGCAGCCAUGCCGCGUGGAUGAUGAAGGUCUUAGGAUUGUAAAAUCCUUUCACCGGGACGAUAAUGACGGUACCCGGAGAAGAAGCCCGGCUAACUCGUGCCAGCAGCCGC